rnacentral:lncRNA from 1 species
GAGCACUUCUUUUCAAGACGAUCCAAUUGCAACAGUUUCAGAUGUUUUAGAAGCAGGAUCUUCAUCACGUCGAGAUGAUUCAUCCACAGCAAAUUCAGACCCACUUUGUGAUAUCGAGUUACAUCCUGAAAAGAGUUCUCCUGAACGUUAAAUUCUAGUCGAA